AUGGAUCAGGAUCUGGAAACGAGGAGGGUCCUUCUUCGAGGCAGGGGUAGAGGAGGUCUCUAUCCUGUCAAACACACCAGAGGAAACGUCAGGAAGCAAGUGCUAAGUGUCACUAGACCAUCUUUGGACGGGUGGCACCGACGUUUUGGUCACCCAUCUUCCAUUGUUGUUAGGAAUAUUCUUAGUGAAAAUAAACUCCCGUGUGAUAGUAAUAAUGAGAAUAAUCUUGUUUGUGACGCAUGCCAAAAAGGCAAAAGUCACCAGUUGCCUUAUCCAAAAUCUUUUAGUGAAUCAAAGUUUCCUUUGGAACUCAUUUUCUCUGAUGUAUGGGGUCCUGUCAUUGAAACCGUAGGAAGAAAAAAAAUAUUACGUGAGUUUCAUUGA
rnacentral:rRNA from 1 species